GAGCCUAUUAUGCAGUCGUACAGGGAAAAAGCACGAUCACAGACCUGUGAUAAAAAUGAGCUCUCUAUUAUUGAAGCUAAACUUACUUGGAUUGUUCAUAUUAUUGCUGCCAUUCUUAAGAUAAAACAAUGUACUGGCUGCAGCAUGGAGUCACUAGAAGUACUUGAUGCAGAACUCUCAGCUCGUGUUCUGCAGUUAAUAAAUGUUACCGAUAGUGGAUUGCACAGUCAG